rnacentral:rRNA from 1 species
GAGAUUCGGAAGUGCUCGCAAGAGAACCGGAACACAGGUGCUGCAUGGCUGUCGUCAGCUCGUGUCGUGAGAUGUUGGGUUAAGUCCCGCAACGAGCGCAACCCUUGUCAUUAGUUGCUACGAAAGGGCACUCUAAUGAGACUGCCGGUGACAAACCGGAGGAAGGUGGGGAUGACGUCAAGUCCUCAUGGCCCUUAUGGGUAGGGCUUCACACGUCAUACAAUGGUCGGGACAGAGGGUCGCCAACCCGCGAGGGGGAGCCAAUCCCAGAAACCCGAUCGUAGUCCGGAUCGCAGUCUGCAACUCGACUGCGUGAAGUCGGAAUCGCUAGUAAUCGCGGAUCAGCAUGUCGCGGUGAAUACGUUCCCGGGUC